UAUUCCAAGUCACAGGCCCAGUUAAAGAUCUGCAAUGCUCUUGCAGAAUUAAGAUUCAGAGGUUUUUGUACAAGGAAUGGGGGAAAACUUUCAGGAACUGAUCGCUACAGAUGUUUGCCAUGUACGAGGCUAAGUCUCAAACCAACAGAAACUGGAGAGCAGCUCUGAGUUCUGCUGUCGUGAAAAAAAAUGAACCAUUGUUCCCACUCUGCUCUCCCUGCUGCUGAAGGUGGUGAGAGGCUGCGGGAACAAGAUCUCAACCCCAGAUGCCUCGGUUAGGUGCAUAGAAACAGUGGUGUUGCUAGUCUCCUGUGGCAUGGACCACUGCUGAGGAUUGAGGCAAUGCAGUGCAAGUUUGGUGCAGCAAAUCCAGCCAACAAAUGGUAAUCCUCCUCCUUGGAGACAGCACCAGGAGACUGCAAGUAAAAGCAGAAACAGGAAGGAUAUCAAAUGAUAUCAGUGCAAAAUGUGGUGGUGGUGGUGGAGGAAUGGAGGAAAGCAAUAUGCAAGACAAUAUCGCUUCAUGCACAUUAUUUCUCAUGGGAUCAAAGCUCCUGUCUGAAUGGCCUCCAUAA
rnacentral:lncRNA from 1 species